rnacentral:rRNA from 1 species
UGAGGAAUAUUGGACAAUGGGCGCAAGCCUGAUCCAGCCAUGCCGCGUGCAGGAAGAAGCAUCUAUGGUGUGUAAACUGCUUUUGUACGGGAAGAAACACUCCUACGUGUAGGAGCUUGACGGUACCGUAAGAAUAAGGAUCGGCUAACUCCGUGCCAGCAGCCGCGGUGAUACGGAGGAUCCAAGCGUUAUCCGGAAUCAUUGGGUUUAAAGGGUCCGUAGGCGGUUUAGUAAGUCAGUGGUGAAAGCCCAUCGCUCAACGAUGGAACGGCCAUUGAUACUGCUAGACUUGAAUUACAAGGAAGUAACUAGAAUAUGUAGUGUAGCGGUGAAAUGCUUAGAUAUUACAUGGAAUACCAAUUGCGAAGGCAGGUUACUACUUGUGGAUUGACGCUGAUGGACGAAAGCGUGGGGAGCGAACA